CAAGUCUCUAGUAUUUUAGAGCUUGAAAUAGCUUCAUAAUUUCUUGUAGUCCACAUGUCAUGGCCUAUCCUUUCCUCAGAGAAGCCUGACAUUAGUAGAAGAAUCAACAUCGCUUCAUUUGUGUCUGGAGAUUGGAAAAUGCUGCACUUAGGAGCUUUGGGAAGAAAACACAUUUCAUAA
rnacentral:lncRNA from 10 species